AGCAGUGUCAACAGGCCUGCAGCCUGCUCUCCAGUCAUCUUCCUCGCAGCGAGCAGUGGCACAGAGCUACGGCGGCAGAUAGGCAUAGCCGUCUUCCUCAGCCUGAGAUCUGCGUUCUAACGUGGUGAACCGGUGCCUCUAUUGCAACCCGACGACGAGCAGCGGCCGUAGCGCUCGGCGAGGCGUAGAAGGUCCGGUGCUGCUGCCCGUCAUGGAGUUCGCCGACGAGUGGCUUCAGCGGCGUCCAUCCCCCGUCCCGCAUUGUUUGCAUUAGCAGGUGUAACCUCGCGGAUCCAACUUGACUGGAUCCGUGGCCACCGGAUCCAUCGCUGCCGCUGGGAUGUGGAGAGGCAGCUGGUGUUCUUUUUCCUUUCUCGAUUCAAUUUCUGCUAGCGAUUCAUGCAUUUGCACCUUCCCUUUUGAGGUUAUUGCGCCUGAUGCUUCUGAUUUGACAGGCGGGUAGGCAACUCGCAAAUCUCAGCAUCAAGGGCAGAACCGUGCUUGGCCCUCGAGCCCUCCACUUCCGCCUCGAUGGUUGAAUGUAGCGAUUAGACUUCGAGGUGCACCUCGCGAGCUUUAUCUGCAGGACGCCAUCCAUGCCGAGGGCUCUCGGUCAGCAACAAGCGGCAAUCUAAUAGGCCAUGAGGGGCUUAAGAAAUAUUUUGCUCUCAGUCAGCAACAAGCAGCAAUCCAGCAAGGCAUCAAGGGCAAGAAAGUACAAGGCUGCAUCUUGUUAUAUUUUGCUGAACAUGUCUUUCGUAGUUUCUGUUGCUUGAGUGGCUUAAAUGCCAUGUUACUCUAGAGAAUUAUGAACUAGAUUUGAAAUAUUGUUCUGGUGAUGGUAACUUGGAUGAUAUUUUUUUUGUCUUGUGGGCUGAAUUGAUCAUUUUAUAAAUAGGUUAAAUUUUCCA